rnacentral:tRNA from 1 species
AUUUAUAUAGUUUAAAUAAAACAUUACAUUUUCACUGUAAAAAAAAUAUUCUUUAUUUAUAAAUA